UACGUAGGCAGCAAGCGUUGUUCGGAGUUACUGGGCGUAAAGGGUGCGUAGGCGGCUUUUUAAGUUUGGUGUGAAAUCUCCCGGCUCAACUGGGAGGGUGCGCCGAAUACUGAGAGGCUAGAGUGUGGGAGAGGAAAGUGGAAUUCCUGGUGUAGCGGUGAAAAUGCGUAGAUAUUACAAGGAACACCAAUGGCGAAGGCAGCUUGCUGGGCCAUAUCUGACGCUGAGACACGAAAGGCGUGGGGAGCGAACAGG
rnacentral:rRNA from 1 species